CCUUAGGCCUCUGAGGGAGAUCUGAUAGCCUUUUCUCCAAAACAACGCCCCGGUCAGCAGGAAGCAGUUAAGGUCGGUUUUCAUCCUUAUCCUUUUCCUUAUUCUAACAGGAGUUAGAUGUACUUCUUUAGAGGGGCGAAUGAGACAGCCAGGUGGGAAGGGGCCCCCCAGGAAAACACCAACCAGCCUGCACACUGGGGUGGAGACAUAGGAAUUUGCGCCCUUUGCAGCAGUGAGGAGCCUGGCCCCACCUCUCCCUGUGUGGAAACUGGGAUUCAAACAGCAUGAGGUGGCAGGUGGGUCCUAUUAACUGGAGAACCCUUUAUGUUGAUGAGCUGGAGAGCUAAGUGGGGCUCAACUGCAUAUCACAAUGGAAGAGAAAAGAAGUGAGGGGAAGGAUGAAGAGAAUGGAGCCUAUAACGCCCCUUGGCAUUUACCAUGUUCAUACAUGCUGUCCAACUUCCAGCUGCCAGCACCUACAACCCUCAGCCUGAAGCCUUUCUUUGGACACUGGAGAUCUUUCUGAUCCUCCCCACAAGCAACCCCCAACCAAUUAUGGAUCGAGUUACUGGAUAAAUAUCCCAGCUCCCUUGUGCCAUGACUGGUAUAAAUCAGAGGCACGUUCUCCCAGGGAGAUUAUGUUCUCCUUGACUUUGG
rnacentral:lncRNA from 1 species